GCAUCGGUGGUUUAGUGGUAGAAUGCUCGCCUGCCACGCGGGCAGCCCGGGUUCAAUUCCCGGCCGAUGCA
rnacentral:tRNA from 1 species